UGUGGCAGAAUAGUGCA
rnacentral:tRNA from 1 species